ACGCUGGCGGCGUGCCUAAUACAUGCAAGUAGAACGCUGAAGGGAGAGCUUGCUCUUCUGGAUGAGUUGCGAACGGGUGAGUAACGCGUAGGUAAACCUGCCCUGGUAGUGGGGGGAUAACUAUUGGAAACGAUAGCUAAUACCGCAUAAUAGUAGAUGUUGCAUGACAUUUGCUUAAAAAGGUGCAAUUGCAUCACUACCAGAUGGACCUGCGUUGUAUUAGCUAGUUGGUGGGUAACGGCUCACCAAGGCGACGAUACAUAGCCGACCUGAGAGGGUGAUCGGCCACACUGGGACUGAGACACGGCCCAGACUCCUACGGGAGGCAGCAGUAGGGAAAUCUUCGGCAAUGGACGGAAGUCUGACCGAGCAACGCCGCGUGAGUGAAGAAGGUUUUCGGAUCGUAAAAGCUCUGUUGUAAGAGAAGAACGAGUGUGAGAGUGGAAAGUUCACACCGUGACGGUAUCUUACCAGAAAGGGACGGCUAACUACGUGCCAGCAGCCGCGGGUAAU
rnacentral:rRNA from 1 species